CAGUAGCCACGGGAAUACGAAGGGUGCAAGCGUUACUCGGAAUUACUGGGCGUAAAGCGUGCGUAGGUGGUGGUUUAAGUCCGUUGUGAAAGCCCUGGGCUGAACCUGGGAAUUGCAGUGGAUACUGGGUCACUAGAGUGUGGUAGAGGAUAGUGGAAUUUCCGGUGUAGCAGUGAAAUGCGUAGAGAUCGGAAGGAACAUCUGUGGCGAAGGCGACUAUCUGGGCCAACACUGACACUGAGGCACGAAAGCGUGGGGAGCAAACAGGAUUAGAUACCCCUGUAGUCCCUGUCUCUUAUAA
rnacentral:rRNA from 1 species